UGGGGAAUAUUGCACAAUGGGCGCAAGCCUGAUGCAGCCAUGCCGCGUGUAUGAAGAAGGCCUUCGGGUUGUAAAGUACUUUCAGCGGGGAGGAAGGGAGUAAAGUUAAUACCUUUGCUCAUUGACGUUACCCGCAGAAGAAGCACCGGCUAACUCCGUGCCAGCAGCCGCGGUAAUACGGAGGGUGCAAGCGUUAAUCGGAAUUACUGGGCGUAAAGCGCACGCAGGCGGUUUGUUAAGUCAGAUGUGAAAUCCCCGGGCUCAACCUGGGAACUGCAUCUGAUACUGGCAAGCUUGAGUCUCGUAGAGGGGGGUAGAAUUCCAGGUGUAGCGAUGAAAUGCGUAGAGAUAUGGAGGAAUACCGGUGGCGAAGGCGGCCCCCUGGACGAAGACUGACGCACAGGUGCGAAAGCGUGGGGAGCAAGCAGG
rnacentral:rRNA from 1 species